rnacentral:lncRNA from 1 species
CCCUCCUCCACCGGCAGUGAAGGUGCAGCGAUGCAGCUGGCUUCUGCUGGAGGUUGUGAGCAAGAAACGCCAGAAGCUGCCCAACAGCGUGAAGCUCUCCGUUCCGGAGAAGCCGUAGGGAGGAUGACGGCAACGACGGAUGUUAAUGAAGAGCAGCCUGCAGAGGAAAAAAGAAAGGAUGUGGGGAGAGGGGUGCCCUCCGGCUGAGGAGGGGACCCCGUGCGUGGAGGUUCAGCUGCCUGCAGCUCUUCUCCCCGACUUGCUUUCCCGUGCUGUGGAGGAAGGGCACGUCUCCGCAGCUGACAUCUCCCUUGGGCCUGCGCUUGCACCGAGCCGCUGCCAGAACGGGAACUGCAGGCGUCUGUUGAACAACAAAGCAAACGCCCAAGCAUUUCGGGUGUGAUGUCCCCAGCAUUCCAAGGAGAGAUUACGCAGCAGCAGCCCAAACGUCUGGAAUGGCUUCUUUCUAGGAGAGAAGCAAAGCCUUGGCGGAGCCAGAGCAGGAGCUUCUUUCCUGAAGGGAAGAGAACCUCCAGCCAUCGCUAUCCAUCUCCUCCCCGGCCAAAGGCCAAAGGCCAAAAGCCAAAGGCCAAAUCCCAAAUCCC